AAUAUUUUACAAUGGGGGCAACCCUGAUCCAGCCAUUCCGCGUGUUUGAUUAUUGUCUUCGUAUUGUAAAGCACUUUAAGUUGGGGGGAAGGGCUUUUGUCUAAUACUCUGAAGCUUUUUCUUUACCAACCGAGUAAGCACCGGCUAACUCUGUGCCAGCAGCCGCGGUAAUACAGAUGGUGCAAGCGUUAAUCGGAAUUACUGGGCGUAAAGCGCGCGUAGGUGGGUCAGUAAGAUGGGUGUGAAAUCCCCGGGGUUAACCUGGGAACUGCUUUCAUACUUGCUGAGCUAGAGUACGGUAGAGGGUAGUGGAAUUUCCUGUGUAGCGGUGAAAUGCGUAGAUAUAGGAAGGAACACCAGUGGCGAAGGCGACUACCUGGACUGAUACGGACACUGAGGUGCGAAAGCGUGGGGAGCAAAC
rnacentral:rRNA from 1 species